CCUGUUUACCAAAAACAUCGCCUUUUGAAUAUUAUAAAAGGUAACGCCUGCCCAGUGACAUAAGUUUAACGGCCGCGGUAUUCUGACCGUGCGAAGGUAGCGUAAUCACUUGUCUUUUAAAUGAAGACUUGUAUGAAUGGCAUCACGAGGACUUAACUGUCUCCCUAAUUUAAUCAGUGAAACUGAUCUUCCUGUGAAAAAGCAGGAAUAAUUUCAUAAGACGAGAAGACCCUAUGGAGCUUAAAACUAAAAACUAACUGUAUAAUCUGCCAAAUUAAAUGACACUAACACACAGAUUUAGCCUAAGUUUUCUGUUGGGGCGACUACGGAGAAAAACUUAUCCUCCGUGAAGAAUAUACUUUGAGUUACCACUCUUAGUAUUAGCAAGCCUAAAUUAAUUGAUCCAAUUUUUGAUCAACGGACCAAGUUACCCUAGGGAUAACAGCGCAAUCCAUUUCAAGAGUUCCUAUCGACAAAUGGGUUUACGACCUCGAUGUUGGAUUAGGACAUCCUAGUGGUGUAGCCGCUACUAAAGGUUCGUUUGUU
rnacentral:rRNA from 1 species